UCGGACGUGGUGUAUGGUACACAGCAGGCUCUUUCGACCAUGAAAGCGUAAGGCCACCCUCAGUCCGGGGUUCGACUCCCCGCGUCCGAA